CUUCCUCUUUUCUUCUCUUCUGUAAUCUAUUCUUCUCUUCUGUAUCUCUUCUUCCUCUUUUCUUCUCUUCCCUAAUCUAUUUUUCCUCUAAAUCAAGGAUUUUUACACUUUUCUGCCGUAAGCUCUGCAUGGCGAGUGAAGAUGUUUCUGAUACUCCAGACUGGCGUGAGUUCCAACAAUGGGGAGAAAAUCGACGAGUUCCACAACAACAAGUACCACAGCAACAAGUACCAAACAAUUCUCCUGAGACCCAAAGAUCAACAGCUUUAUAUCAACUUACAAUCAAUGAGUUGCUCCAGACUCUAGGCCGAGAAAACAUGACCGAACUCUAUCCAGGACGACCUGGCAAAACAACAUGGUAAUACCUUCCUAUUUAAAUCCUUCGUAAUAUUGUUUUUAUCCAAAUUUAUGAGUUUUGAAAUUUUAAUAUAUGGUUCGGUUCAUGUGAAGGUUUAAGUAUAAUACUCGGAUAACAAAGUCAGUGUUGCUUAUGAUGAAAUCUGAUUUAAAGAUCUUCUGAUCCUAAAUAUAGAAGAUUACCAGAAGAAAUUAAACUUAGGUGGUUCAAAUCAUUGCUCAAGAAUUCAACUGGAAUCCCACAUAUACAGUCAUUGUGGAAAAAAGUUCCAUAAAGUAGCAAGAUCUGUGUUCAAAAACCAAAUGUACCUUUGAAAAAAAGAUUGGGAAGCAGGGAAUGAAAAGCCGGUGCGGAUAACAUCUCGUGAAGUUUGGAAUGAAUACAUCAAUCACUGGCAGAACCCUAAGACAAAGAAAGCUUCUGCUAAAAACAAAGCUAACCGGAACAGCCACCAUGGAGGAGAUGGCCCAGCUGCACACACCACAGGUUCUAAGUCUUAUGUUAGGCGUUAUGAUGAAAUGACAGAAGAAGCUGGAGAGCCUCCAAGCAUCGUGAGUUUUAUGAUUGAAACACACAAAAGCAAAAAAACAAAGGCUUUUGUGGAUAAAAGGGCUGAGAGAAUUGUGGAGACCUUGUUAGUAACAAUUGUUAACCAAGUUUUGACUCAAUUAUUUUGAUUUAUUUGUCAAACAAUUUGACCACUUUAAUGGUCAAAAUUUUCGACCAAAUUUUUCGUCAUAAAUUUAGACUGAUAUAUUUGGUCGAUACUAUCGAUUUAUGAAAUUCGUCAGAAAUAUUCGACCACUAAAUGUCGUC